GCAUGGGGGAACCCUGAUGCAGCGACGCCGCGUGGAGGAAGAAGGUCUUCCGAUUGUAAACUCCUGUUGUUGAGGAAGAUAAUGACGGUACUCAACAAGGUAAGUGACGGCUAACUACGUGCCAGCAGCCGCGGUAAAACGUAGGUCACAAGCGUUGUCCGGAAUUACUGGGUGUAAAGGGAGCGCAGGCGGGAGAACAAGUUGGAAGUGAAAUCCAUGGGCUCAACCCAUGAACUGCUUUCAAAACUGUUUUUCUUGAGUAGUGCAGAGGUAGGCGGAAUUCCCGGUGUAGCGGUGGAAUGCGUAGAUAUCGGGAGGAACACCAGUGGCGAAGGCGGCCUACUGGGCACCAACUGACGCUGAGGCUCGAAAGUGUGGGUAGCAAACAGGAUUAGAUACCCUGGUAGUCCAAGGGCGAAUUC
rnacentral:rRNA from 1 species